rnacentral:misc_RNA from 1 species
AAGUCGUAACAAGGUUUCCGUAGGUGAACCUGCGGAAGGAUCAUUACCGUGGGGGCCCCCCGGGGCCCCUGCCGAGAUAGCACCACUUGUCUUACAGCACCAACCGUUUCCUCGGCGGGCUCGCCAGCCAACGGGGACCGAACAAACCAUCAAACCGCAGUUUCAGAAGUCAAAAACGUAACCAAACAAAAAAAAUCAAAACUUUCAACAACGGAUCUCUUGGUUCUG